rnacentral:rRNA from 1 species
UACGUAGGGUGCAAGCGUUGUCCGGAAUUAUUGGGCGUAAAGAGCUCGUAGGCGGUUUGUCGCGUCGGCUGUGAAAACCUGGGGCUCAACCCCGGGCCUGCAGCCGAUACGGGCAAACUAGAAUUCGGUAGGGGAGACUGGAAUUCCUGGUGUAGCGGUGAAAUGCGCAGAUAUCAGGAGGAACACCGGUGGCGAAGGCGGUUCUCUGGGCAUGUCCUGACGCUGAGGAGCGAAAGUGUGGGGAGCGAACAGG